rnacentral:rRNA from 1 species
CAGUAAGGGAGCUUGCUCCCGGAUGUUAGCGGCGGACGGGUGAGUAACACGUGGGUAACCUGCCUGUAAGACUGGGAUAACUCCGGGAAACCGGAGCUAAUACCGGAUAGUUCCUUGAACCGCAUGGUUCAAGGAUGAAAGACGGUUUCGGCUGUCACUUACAGAUGGACCCGCGGCGCAUUAGCUAGUUGGUGGGGUAAUGGCUCACCAAGGCGACGAUGCGUAGCCGACCUGAGAGGGUGAUCGGCCACACUGGGACUGAGACACGGCCCAGACUCCUACGGGAGGCAGCAGUAGGGAAUCUUCCGCAAUGGACGAAAGUCUGACGGAGCAACGCCGCGUGAGUGAUGAAGGUUUUCGGAUCGUAAAGCUCUGUUGUUAGGGAAGAACAAGUGCGAGAGUAACUGCUCGCACCUUGACGGUACCUAACCAGAAAGCCACGGCUAACUACGUGCCAGCAGCCGCGGUAAUACGUAGGUGGCAAGCGUUGUCCGGAAUUAUUGGGCGUAAAGGGCUCGCAGGCGGUUUCUUAAGUCUGAUGUGAAAGCCCCCGGCUCAACCGGGGAGGGUCAUUGGAAACUGGGAAACUUGAGUGCAGAAGAGGAGAGUGGAAUUCCACGUGUAGCGGUGAAAUGCGUAGAGAUGUGGAGGAACACCAGUGGCGAAGGCGACUCUCUGGUCUGUAACUGACUCUGAGGA